GCCUGGCUGGCUCAGUUGGUUGAGCAUGUGACUUUUGCUCAGGUCAUGAUCUCCCGGUUCGUGGGUUCGAGCCCCACGUUGGGCU